AUUGAACACUGGCGGCAGGCCUAACACAUGCAAGUCGAGCGGAGCGGCGUUCGGUUGCGUAAUGCCUAGGAAUCGGCCUCGUAAUGGGGGAUAACGUCCGGAAACGGGCGCUAAUGCCACAUACUCUCAGUUGCGACGAGGUCGGAUUAGCUAGUUUGUGGGGUAAAGGCCUACCAAGGCGACGAUCCGUAACUGGUCUGAGAGGAUUAUCAGUCACACUGGAACUGAGAGACGGUCCAGAAUCAUACGGGAGGCAGCAGGGGGGAAUAUUGGACAAUGGGCGAAAGCCUGAACCAGCCAUGACGCGUGUGUGAAGAAGGUCGUGGGAUUGGAAAGCACUUUAAGUUGGGAGGCGUUACCAACAGAAGAAGCACAGGCUAACUACGUGCCAGCAGCCGCGGUAAUAC
rnacentral:rRNA from 1 species